GAGUUUCACAAAAAGGCUCUGGAAAUAAUAAAAGAAUCGUUAGGUCCAAAUCAUGUUGAUGUCGCUAUGUCUUUAAACAAUCUUGGUAAGGUGUUUUAUGAAACUAGAAACUACGACAAUGCUAUAGAGUUUUACGAAAAAGCUCUGGAAAUUAAAAAAAAAUCGUUAG